UUUAUUUGUUUCAUCACUCUCUCUCUCUCCUUUGUCUCUCUCUUUCCUUCGUAUGUGUAGAUUAUUGGAGAGUAAGCUCGUGUAGAUCUUCUCAUUCUCGUGGGUUCAAAGCCAAUCACCAAAAAAGGUAAUUUCCGAAAUCACAAUCCACUUCCUGGUGUUUCUCGUCCUUCGAUUCAGAUUUCGUAGCUUGUUUCUUUUGCUUUUGGCCCUCUUCUACUGUACAGAUUUCUAGGGUUUUCUCAAAUUCUCUCUCGCUCGUUAGGAGUAGAACAGUUUUGAUCUUGAUAAUCUUAUAUAACCCUUCACUGUUUCGAAUUUAUGAAUAACCCAUCUUGUGUUAUGAAUUUCAAGUUGAGUAUGUUCAUGCCAAGAUCAAGAUUUUAAGAGGGUUUGUUUGUUUGUUUGGGGAUUUUAUGAGGUGCUUCUGUUGAUUUGGGUGAUUUGGGUGGGUCUUUAAUUCCGUAUAGAUCAAUAACAAGGAACCCAUACAGGAGAUUAGUAGUGUAAAAGACUGUAAAACAUGGGAGAAGAUUUACUCACAGGCCUCUCAAUUGAGAAUUAUCACCCAUCAACAUUUUUAUCCAUGGAUUCAAUUGCUACCUCCCAUGAGGAAUCAGACCGAGACAUGAAUCGGCAGGUUAUCCUCUCCCAUCCUCCCGAUAUUAACCUCCCGCUAUCCGUGGAGCAUAGUCCUCCACCUCAGUUGUGGAGUCACGACGCAUUUGAUAUGUUAGAGGUUGGGCUUGGACAUCAAAUCAAUGAAUCCGAUACGCUCAUGUAUAUGUCUAAGACUGAGAGAAAAUGUGCUAAGCGAUUUGAUAGUGUAUGGGGUGCUUGGAUUUUCUUUAGUUUCUACUUCAAGCCUGUUUUGAAGGACAAAUCAAAGUGCAACAUUGUUCAGGAUAGUAAUGGGGUCUCGGGGUUUGAUAAGUCGGAUCUCCAGCUUGAUGUCUUUCUGGUUCAACAUGAUAUGGAGAACAUAUAUAUGUGGGCUUUUAAGGAGAGGCCAGAGAAUGCAUUGGGCAAGAUGCAGUUGAGGAGUUACAUGAAUGGGCAUUCUCGCCAGGGUGAACGUCCAUUUCCAUUUAGUGUCGACAAGGGUUUUGUUCGAUCUCAUAGAAUGCAGCGGAAACAUUACAGGGGCCUUUCAAAUCCUCAAUGUGUACAUGGGAUUGAGCCUGUUUCAUCACCCAAUCUUAUGGGUCUUGAUGAGGAAGAGCAGAAGAAGUGGAUAGAACUAACGGGUAGGGAUCUAAAUUUCUCUGUCCCACCCGAAGCAAGGGAAUAUAGUUUGUGGAGGAGCCUUCCGAACACGGAUUUUGAGCUUGAGAGACCACUUCCUCCAUUAAAGAGCAAUCCACAACCUCCUCCGAAAAAAUUGCUUAAUGGGUCUGGAUUGAACUUGUCAACUCAGCCACCAAACCACAUAAAUGGAAGCGGAAUUGACCUCUCACCUGUUUGCAACAAGAGGAGGAAGGAUUCUUUCCCACAUGGUAAUGAUGAAGAUUGUUGCUUGCCCAUUAAUCCUCAUUCUGAUCAUCAUCAAGAUAUAGAUAUCCACACGAUUGAGCCGCCUUGGAUGAAUGAGUUUAGUGGAGCGAUGAGGAAUGUAAAUGGGCCUGUUACGGCUGCGAAAACUAUCUAUGAGGACGAAGAAGGAUACUUAAUCAUCAUUACCAUGCCUUUCGCUGACCCUGAAAGGGUAAAAGUUCAUUGGUGGAACAAUCUCACUCAUGGUGUUGUGAAGAUAUCAUCUGUGAGCACAGCAUGUAUGCCCUUUAUCCAGAGAAAUGAUAGAACGUUCAAACUGACUGAUCCAUCUCCUGAGCACUGUCCUCCAGGGGAAUUCAAAAGGGAAAUCCCACUUGCUACCCGAAUUCCAGAUGAUGCGAAGCUCGAAGCAUACUUCGACAAAAGUGGAACGAUGCUGGAGAUUUUAGUGCCAAAACACCGUGUGGGACCAGAAGAGCAUGAGGUUACUGUUUGCCUUCGUCCUCCCAAUGAUUUUGCGUUGUCUUGACUCUGGCAUUUGGUUGGAGAACUGUAAGGGUUGCUUACUACAUCCAUUAAGUUAAAUUCUGAAACAAAAUUUUUAUCCUAACUAAAUUACGUAGUCUUUCUACUUCUAACUCCCAAAAAAAACAAAAAAUUUGAUUGUUAUGGCUUUGUUUUAUGGCAUUUGGGUGGGAUUGUUCCUGAGCUUGAACAUUGAAGUGCGAAGCUCAAUAGUUUUGAAAUUGUUCCAUGUAUCGCUUCUGAUCUAGUCUCUCACUUCAUAUUUUGCGAUGCAUGUGGUGGAGAAAUGUAGAUGACAGUGGGAAAAGAACAAGCCAUUCUUCCGUUUUGUUGUACAGCGUCUGAAUGCAAAUGUUCUAUCUUGAUGAACGAAUAAACCAGUGGUUUACAGUCCUGGUGUCUGUAAUCUUGUUCUGUAUAUUUGACUGGGUUUUGCAUGCAAUCGUGGUAUAUGCAGUUAGAAUUGGAUAAUUUGUUAUAAUGUUUAGUGACUUUACUUUUUAGCCA